GGAGUUUGGACCGUGUCUCAGUUCCAAUGUGGGGGACCUUCCUCUCAGAACCCCUACUGAUCGAUGGCUUGGUGGGCCGUUACCCCGCCAACAACCUAAUCAGACGCAUCCCCAUCCUAUAGCGGUAAACCUUUGAUUCAACUUAGAUGUCCGCAUUGAAUAACAUAGAGUAUUAAUCCGACUUUCGCCGGGCUAUCCUCUACUAUAGGGAAGGUUGGAUACGCGUUACUCACCCGUGCGCCGGUCGCCAUCAAUCUUAGCAAGCUAAGAUCAUGCUGCCCCUCGACUUGCAUGUGUUAAGCCUGUAGCUAGCGUUCAUC
rnacentral:rRNA from 1 species